UACGAAGGGGGCUAGCGUUGUUCGGAAUCACUGGGCGUAAAGCGCACGUAGGCGGAUGUGCCAGUCAGGGGUGAAAUCCCGGAGCUCAACUCCGGAACUGCCUCUGAUACAGCACGUCUUGAGUUCGAGAGAGGUGGGUGGAAUUCCUAGUGUAGAGGUGAAAUUCGUAGAUAUUAGGAAGAACACCGGUGGCGAAGGCGGCUCACUGGACCGGUACUGACGCUGAGGCGCGAAAAGCGUGGGGAGCAAACAGG
rnacentral:rRNA from 1 species